GACAGAGGGUGCAAACGUUGUUCGGAAUUACUGGGCGUAAAGCGCGUGUAGGCGGCUCGGCAAGUCGGGGUGUGAAAGCCCUGGGCUUAACCUAGGAAGUGCACUCGAAACUGCCAAGCUUGAGUUCGGAGAGGAAGGCGGAAUUCUCGGUGUAGAGGUGAAAUUCGUAGAUAUUGGGAAGAACACCGGUGGGCGAAGGCGGCUAUCUGGACCGACAUUGACGCUGAGGCGGCGAAAGCG
rnacentral:rRNA from 1 species